rnacentral:rRNA from 1 species
UGGGGAAUAUUGCACAAUGGGCGCAAGCCUGAUGCAGCCAUGCCGCGUGUAUGAAGAAGGCCUUCGGGUUGUAAAGUACUUUCAGAGGGGAGGAAGGCGAUGUGGUUAAUAACCGCGUCGAUUGACGUUACCCGCAGAAGAAGCACCGGCUAACUCCGUGCCAGCAGCCGCGGUAAUACGGAGGGUGCAAGCGUUAAUGGGAAUUACUGGGCGUAAAGCGCACGCAGGCGGUCUGUCAAGUCGGAUGUGAAAUCCCCGGGCUCAACCUGGGAACUGCAUCCGAAACUGGCAGGCUUGAGUCUCGUAGAGGGGGGUAGAAUUCCAGGUGUAGCGGUGAAAUGCGUAGAGAUCUGGAGGAAUACCGGUGGCGAAGGCGGCCCCCUGGACGAAGACUGACGCUCAGGUGCGAAAGCGUGGGGAGCAAACA